UACGUAGGGCGCAAGCGUUGUCCGGAAUUAUUGGGCGUAAAGAGCUCGUAGGCGGCCUGUUGCGUCCGCUGUGAAAUCCCGGGGCUUAACCCCGGGCCUGCAGUGGAUACGGGCAGGCUGGAGGCAGGCAGGGGAGACUGGAAUUCCUGGUGUAGCGGUGGAAUGCGCAGAUAUCAGGAGGAACACCGGUGGCGAAGGCGGGUCUCUGGGCCGUUACUGACGCUGAGGAGCGAAAGCGUGGGGAGCGAACAGG
rnacentral:rRNA from 1 species